rnacentral:rRNA from 1 species
ACUCCUACGGGAGGCAGCAGUGGGGAAUUUUUCGCAAUGGGCGCAAGCCUGACGAAGCAACGCCGCGUGGAGGAUGAAGGUCUUCGGAUUGUAAACUCCUGUCGACCGGGACGAAUGCACUCGACCUAAUACGUCGGAAUGUUGACGGUACCGGUGGAGGAAGCCACGGCUAACUCUGUGCCAGCAGCCGCGGUAAUACAGAGGUGGCAAGCGUUGUUCGGAAUUACUGGGCGUAAAGGGCGCGUAGGCGGCCUUGUAAGUCUUGUGUGAAAGCCCUCGGCUUAACUGAGGAUCUGCACGGGAUACUGCGAGGCUUGAGUUCGGGAGAGGAAAGCGGAAUUCCGGGUGUAGCGGUGAAAUGCGUAGAUAUCCGGAGGAACACCAGUGGCGAAGGCGGCUUUCUGGACCGACACUGACGCUGAGGCGCGAAAGCUAGGGGAGCAAACGGGAUUAGAUACCCCGGUAGUCCUAGCUGUAAACGAUGAUCGCUGGGUGUGGGGGGUUUUUACUCCCUCCGUGCCGAAGCUAACGCAUAAGC